CCCGGGUCUCUCCACCCACAUUCACCAGCUGCGCGUGCGCCCUAAUGCCUGGCGCGAUCCCGUGUGGGUUCUGGGUGGGGCUGUCAACCCUGGAACCGGUAAGAUUCACCUGGAAAUGUUAGGUAGCAAGUGGCUUCAGUAAUACCCGUGUUAAUGCAUCAAACGCUAAUAUUAACUGUCAGUGCUGGGCACGAGGCAGGCAUUCUGGAAGUACCCUGGGACCUUCGCUGGAGGAGCUAAGAUAGCAUCCGAUAGACGCUGCAUUGGCGAACGGGACUGCAGCAGUGGAGAGAACUCUGGCCUUCCGCCAGCCGGUCCCUCCAGGACCAGUCAUGACAGGAAAACUUCCCUCAGAAAGUCUACUCUCAACACACACCAUUGCAAAUGAGGAAUGGAAGCUGAAGAAGCCACUGGCCAUAAGGAGUCCUAUGAAGAAGUCCAUGUUUGAGGGCCUGAGGUGUUAUCUUCCAGCAGCCACAAGAAAGAGCCACCCUGGGGACAGAUCCUGGCACCCUAUUUGAGCCAUCAGAUAACCGCAGCCCUGGAUGACAUCUUGACUGCAAACUUAAGAGAAAUCCUGAGCCAGAACCACCCAUUCCUCCGCAUUCCUGACUCUCAGAAACUGUGUUAGGAAAUGAAUAUUUUGUUGUUUUAAGUCACCAUGUCUGGGGGUAAUUUGUUAAAGCAGCAAUAGGUACUGCAGGUGAGAAAUAAAAAGCAAGAUGUGAGCGAGGCCCAUGGAUCAGCUGGAACUGUCAGGUUAGGUCUACAAAGUGAAGUUUCUGAGAGUCAUGCUCCACCUCUGAGCCACUGGUGCCUGAAAGGCCAAGAAGACACCGUUCAGCUCAGGUAUAGUACACACAGCCCUGUCCACACCCUAAUCAAUUAGGUGAGAGCAAAGUGCCCUGACACUUUCUCUCUUGUGUCCUUCCUUUUUCUUCUUAAUUUUGCCCCUAAUUUCUCCCUAAUUCUAUUGUGUUUAACUGGGGCCUUUGCAAUGGUGACAGAGGUCCGGGUUGUUUUCAGUUUUUGAGGCUUGCAAUACAUUAAAAAAUAAAGAAAUGUUAAAGCAGGGUGCUAAAAAAAUUUUUAAUU